rnacentral:lncRNA from 1 species
GUCACGCCACACACCUGUCUCUGUCACACGUGUGGCACAUGGUGCCACGAAUACUAUGCACAUCACCUAUCGAACUACAUGGCCCUGCCACGUUUGGACGCGUGUCCCUGCCUGUGGGUGCGGAUGAAGACUCUUCGACUGCACACAACUGUCUGGCUUCCCUUGCUGGAACCCCUAUGCAAACACCGUAAAACCUCCUGGCUCACUGGUGAGCCCUCCCUCCUUCUUCUUGGUGCUUCCCUGUCGUCAAAAAACCACCAAUAGUCCAUCGAAGAAUCUUCGCAAGACUUUUCACCAGAGCUUCUUCCCUCACAAAACCAAUCGGAAAACUCUCCGAUAAGUACUUGCCUUCACCUGCAACCCCUGUGAUUGGCCGUGAAACUCCCUCACCUCUCCAGAACACCCCUAAUUGUUCCCUUUAUGAGGAUCUCUUGAUGAAAUCUCUUCAUCGGAAUCUCCCUUUGCCGAAACUCUUAUUGCCGGAACCCUCAGGUGCGCCCGUCAGAAAAGUC